rnacentral:misc_RNA from 1 species
AAGGUAUCUGGGGCAGUAAGAAGCUCUGAGCAUGGAACACAGAAAGGAGGAAUUUUGGAGGCAAAAAUUAAUGGACAUGAUGUCAAUUCUGUCUCAAGUGGAAGUCAAAGAACUGGUGUAUCUACAUGUCAAAAGGACAAGAAUAAGGAAAGUGUUGGAGAGGUUAUCCUUAAGAAGUCCUCAUCAGUGGAGGAAAUAAAAAACAAAAGCUCAAGAGCCGGAAGCAGAACUGAAAAUCAAGCCAAUGUUUCUUAUACCAAUGCUACUUCAAAUUCUCAUAUGGACAGUGUCCAGAGAUAUCAUCACAAAAUGGAAAAGCAAAAGCUCAAGGCUUCAGUAGAAGAGCUUGCUUCUCGAGCAGCUUCUCGUGCCACGGCUGAAGCAGCAAAAAACAUCACCCC